rnacentral:rRNA from 1 species
CAGUUCGGAUUGAAGGCUGAAAUUCGCCUUCAUGAAGCUGGAAUUGCUAGUAAUGGCAGGUCAGCAUACUGCCGUGAAUACGUUCCCGGGCCCUUGUACACACCGCCCGUCACACCAUGAGAGUUGGGGAUACCCGAAGCCUGUGAGCUAACUUUUAGAGGCAGCAGUCGAAGGUAGAAUCAAUGAUUGGGGUGAAGUCGUAACAAGGUAUC